rnacentral:lncRNA from 1 species
UCAAACCAGUACUACGGGAUCCUUUGUCUCCGCCAGUUAUUCAGCAGUCGAUAGCACCACCCUUAUCUGGUUAUAAACCUAUCAGGGAGCAUGCAUAUAGAGCGCAAUACGGCAGUAGUAAAGCAGGUCGGAAUUUCUCACCGUAUGAUCACGGAAGGCAGCAGUUCGCACCCCACCAUGUUGUGCCUCGAGAGGUUGCCCGUGAUCCACA